GUGGGGAAUCUUGCGCAAUGGGCGAAAGCCUGACGCAGCCAUGCCGCGUGAAUGAUGAAGGUCUUAGGAUUGUAAAAUUCUUUCACCGGGGACGAUAAUGACGGUACCCGGAGAAGAAGCCCCGGCUAACUUCGUGCCAGCAGCCGCGGUAAUACGAAGGGGGCUAGCGUUGCUCGGAAUUACUGGGCGUAAAGCGCACGUAGGCGGAUCAGAAAGUCAGAGGUGAAAUCCCAGGGCUCAACCUUGGAAUUGCCUUUGAUACUGGAUGUCUUGAGUUCGGGAGAGGUGAGUGGAAUGCCGAGUGUAGAGGUGAAAUUCGUAGAUAUUCGGCGGAACACCAGUGGCGAAGGCGACUCACUGGCCCGAUACUGACGCUGAGGCGCGAAAGCGUGGGGAGCAAACAGGAUUAGAUACCCGGGUAGUCC
rnacentral:rRNA from 1 species